rnacentral:rRNA from 1 species
UAGUCCACGCCGUAAACGAUGAAUACUAGGUGUCGGGGGUCGAACCUCGGUGCCGCAGCUAACGCAUUAAGUAUUCCGCCUGGGGAGUACGCACGCAAGUGUGAAACUCAAAGGAAUUGACGGGGACCCGCACAAGCAGCGGAGCAUGUGGUUUAAUUCGAAGCAACGCGAAGAACCUUACCAGGUCUUGACAUACAAAUGACCGGAACUUAACCGUUCCUUUCCUUCGGGACAUUUGAUACAGGUGGUGCAUGGUUGUCGUCAGCUCGUGUCGUGAGAUGUUGGGUUAAGUCCCGCAACGAGCGCAACCCUUACUUUUAGUUGCCAUCAGGUAAUGCUGGGCACUCUAAAGGGACUGCCGUGGACAACACGGAGGAAGGUGGGGAUGACGUCAAAUCAUCAUGCCCCUUAUGAUCUGGGCUACACACGUGCUACAAUGGUCGGUACAACGGGCAGCGAAGGGGUGACCUGGAGCGAAUCCUAUAAAGCCGAUCUCAGUUCGGAUUGCAGG